CUUCCCACCUGGAAGCUGUGGACCCUGUGGUACAGGGGAAGACUAAGGCAGAACAGUUCUACCGUGGCGAUGCCCAGGGUAGGAAGGUCAUGUCCAUCUUGGUCCAUGGGGAUGCUGCCUUCGCUGGCCAGGGUGUUGUCUAUGAGACCUUCCAUCUGAGUGACCUGCCUUCCUACACCACCAAUGGCACAGUACAUGUUGUGGUUAACAACCAGAUUGGCUUUACCACAGACCCCAGAAUGGCUCGCUCCUCGCCUUACCCCACUGACGUGGCACGGGUGGUCAACGCACCCAUCUUCCA